rnacentral:lncRNA from 10 species
ACCUAGCGAUUGACAUGGCCUUCAGAGGAUCUUGGACAGCGUCAGGAGAGGAUGACAUAGUCAACUGCAUACCUGCAAAAGAAUUCAGAACCUGUAGCCUUCAACUGUCCUGCUGCGCAAUUUCCAGCUGAAGUUAUAAUCUUCUGUUUGGGAUACCAUAGUUGAUUACUGUUGAAAUGACUGUAAUACUCAUUAUCCACCAUUUGUUGGAAGAGUGGAAGAAGACUGUGAUUAAAUAAAAAUUGGCUUGGAUUUUGCUUCCAACAUCUACCACAUUACUUUAAGAACUUAAUCAAAAUUUUGCUGUUGGUGUUUCUAAAUGUUUUUCUCGAUCACUUGCUUGGUCAGUACAAAUGUGGUAGAUUGAAUUAUUGACUCCAUUAUUUACCACUGCAGGAAUCGACAUCCUUUUCCACAGACCGUUGCAGUUCCUCUCACUGUAGACCGAGUAGACCCUUCGGUCUCAGUCAUGUGACUUACUUUAGUCAAGAAGACUUGAAAUGUGCAUGCAUAGAUGGGCUUGUCCUCUCACACCUCUGCCACCUUUGUAAAAAGAAGCUGUCCUGUUACGAUUUUGCACCAAGGAAGAUGACGGACACAGAAGCAUAUUUGGACCCAUCUCACACCCUGGCAUCCACGGCAGACUGGAGAGCCAAUUCUGUGCCUACUCACACACAUGUAAGAGAGAAUAAAUGGUUGCUUUAAGCCAGCAUUAGGACUGUUUAUUGUGCAACAAUAGCUGACUAGUACAACCACCCACAUUUAUGACUAUGAGUGAAAAGAUAUGUUAUUAACUGCAGUCACAUCAUCAAUUAACAUUACCAGAGUACUCAUUGCAGGUAGAAAUAUGCAUUUUGAGGAGGCCUAAAAGAGAUAUAGAAGUUUUGUCUGCUGCUCUGGAAGAUUCUGAUAGAAGGGUAUGCUGCUCAUCAGACUCAUUAUUUCAAUAACAUUUAUUGAGAGCAUACUCUGUGUCAGACACUGUGCUACAGCCGGAAGAACAAAGAUAAACAAGUCAGGCCUGACUUCAACAAGCAUGAGGCCUAGUAGGAGACACAGACUUGCAAACAAAGCGCUGCUUUAUAAAAUUUCCAAACCGGCUGGGCGCGGUGGCUCACGCCUGUAAUCCCAGCACUUUGGGAGGCCGAGGUGGGUGGAUUACGAGGUCAGGAAAUUGAGACCAUCCUGGCUAACACGGUGAAACCCGUCUCUACUAAAAAUACAAACAAACAAACAAACAAACAAACAAUUAGCCCGGUGUGGUGGCAGGCGCCUGUAGUCCCAGCUACUCGGGAGGCUGAGGCAGGAGAAUGGCUUGAACCUGGGAGGCGGAGCUUGCAGUCAGCAGAGAUCCCGCCACUGCACUCCAGCCUGGGUGACAGAGCGAGACUCCGUCUAAAAAAAAAAAAAGAAAAUUCCCAAACUGCAACUGUAUUUGAACUGUAUACAGUACAGUAUCUGGAGCCCAGCAUACAAUGUCCAAGUGUUUGCACCAGAACCCUGGCUCAACCAACUUUCUCACCUUUAUUUGCCUCAGUUCCCUCAUUCAUAAAAGCUGGAGAAUUCACAUUUAGGAUGGUAUCUGACAUGUAACAACUCAAUGUCAGCUAUUAUUAUCGCUGUUGUUAUUAUUAUUAAUAUCAACAUCAGCAGCAGCAGUAUUAAGGAUGAAGUAGCCAACCUUUCCUUGACCAUGGCACAUUUAGAGACAUUGAAAUUAUUGUGCUAAAUGCUAAGAGGGCUUAGAAAAUAAAUGAAACAAGGCUCCAUUCUCAAGAGGCUUACCAGAAAUAUUCACACAAAAAGGUCAGUAAUUAUAGAUGAUGAAAAGGAUGGUAACUGAAAGAAACCGUGUAUUAUAUACCUUGUCGAUUCAAACGAAAUUAUUUUAUACACAUAUAACCACCUAGACUUGAUUGGUUAGGGGUUUUCACUGGUAUGGUGACAUUUGUCUCAAUUUUGCUGAAGAUGACACUAUGUAAAUUCAUGCUUGAUAGUUAUAAUUAAAUUAAAAUGGAAGAUUUGUAUUUCUUUCUUGAUAAAUCGACUCAGUCUCACCUACAUCCUUAGAAGCUCAG